UAGGGAAUCUUCGGCAAUGGACGAAAGUCUGACCGAGCAACGCCGCGUGAGUGAAGAAGGUUUUCGGAUCGUAAAACUCUGUUGUUAGAGAAGAACAAGGACGUUAGUAACUGAACGUCCCCUGACGGUAUCUAACCAGAAAGCCACGGCUAACUACGUGCCAGCAGCCGCGGUAAUACGUAGGUGGCAAGCGUUGUCCGGAUUUAUUGGGCGUAAAGCGAGCGCAGGCGGUUUCUUAAGUCUGAUGUGAAAGCCCCCGGCUCAACCGGGGAGGGUCAUUGGAAACUGGGGGACUUGAGUGCAGAAGAGGAGAGUGGAAUUCCAUGUGUAGCGGUGAAAUGCGUAGAUAUAUGGAGGAACACCAGUGGCGAAGGCGGCUCUCUGGUCUGUAACUGACGCUGAGGCGCGAAAGCGUGGGGAGCAAACAGG
rnacentral:rRNA from 1 species